UAUCUCUGUAGAGUCUGCAUAUCAAUAAGCGGAGGAAAAGAAACUAACUAGGAUUCCCUCAGUAACGGCGAGUGAAGCGGGAAGAGCUCAAAUUUGAAAUCUUCAAGGUUCUACCUUGACGAAUUGUAGUUUAAAGAAGUGUUUUCUGUUGGAGUUUUGGUAAAAGUUCUUUGGAAUAGGACAUCAUAGAGGGUGAGAAUCCCGUAUUUGACCAUUAUUUCCAGCUUUGUGAUACACUUUCAAAGAGUCGGGAUCGUUUGGGAAUGCAGUCCAAAAUGGGUGGUAAAUUUCAUCUAAAGCUAAAUAUUGGCGAGAGACCGAUAGCGAACAAGUACCGUGAGGGAAAGAUGAAAAGAACUUUGAAAAGAGAGUUAAACAGUACGUGAAAUUGUCAAAAGGGAAGCGUUUGACACCAGUGUUGUUUUCUCGAAAAUCAAUUAAAAAAGGCAGGAUUUUGUGUUGUAUUGACUUUAUCAGCUUUCUGCACUCUUUUCUUGUCUUUUUUAAUGCACUUUUCGUUUAACAAGUCAACAUCAAUUUCUUUUGUUGUAAAAGGGUCAUUGGAAGGUGGCUUUCUUUUCGGAGAAAGUGUUUAUAGCCUUUGGCCUCUGCAAUCGGAGAGAUUGAGGUCUGCAGCGUAGAUCCUUCGGGGUUAGAUACAUUUGUGCUAAGUUAUAGCCUUUCAUAGACAACUUGUUGACUAUGAUCAGUCAUGUAGCUUACUCGCUUAUGCUAUUUUACCUACGCUUAGGAUGUUGACGAUCAGCUGAGCGCG
rnacentral:rRNA from 1 species